AGUAAGAUAAGCUAAAUUAAGCUUUUGGGCCCAUACCCCAAAUAUGUUGGCGAAAACCCAUCUCUUACUA
rnacentral:tRNA from 1 species